rnacentral:rRNA from 1 species
UGGAUCCAGACUUUGAUUCUGGCUCAGGAUGAACGCUAGCGGCAGGCUUAACACAUGCAAGUCGAGGGGCAGCAUAAUGGAUAGCAAUAUCUAUGGUGGCGACCGGCGCACGGGUGCGUAACGCGUAUGCAACCUACCUUUAACAGGGGGAUAACACUGAGAAAUUGGUACUAAUACCCCAUAAUAUCAUAGAAGGCAUCUUUUAUGGUUGAAAAUUCCGAUGGUUAGAGAUGGGCAUGCGUUGUAUUAGCUAGUUGGUGGGGUAACGGCUCACCAAGGCGACGAUACAUAGGGGGACUGAGAGGUUAACCCCCCACACUGGUACUGAGACACGGACCAGACUCCUACGGGAGGCAGCAGUGAGGAAUAUUGGUCAAUGGACGCAAGUCUGAACCAGCCAUGCCGCGUGCAGGAUGACGGCUCUAUGAGUUGUAAACUGCUUUUGUACGAGGGUAAACGCAGAUACGUGUAUCUGUCUGAAAGUAUCGUACGAAUAAGGAUCGGCUAACUCCGUGCCAGCAGCCGCGGUAAUACGGAGGAUUCAAGCGUUAUCCGGAUUUAUUGGGUUUAAAGGGUGCGUAGGCGGUUUGAUAAGUUAGAGGUGAAAUUUCGGGGCUCAACCCUGAACGUGCCUCUAAUACUGUUGAGCUAGAGAGUAGUUGCGGUAGGCGGAAUGUAUGGUGUAGCGGUGAAAUGCUUAGAGAUUAUGCAGAACACCGAUUGCGAAGGCAGCUUACCAAACUAUAUCUGACGUUGAGGCACGAAAGCGUGGGGAGCAAACAGGAUUAGAUACCCUGGUAGUCCACGCAGUAAACGAUGAUAACUCGUUGUCGGCGAUACACAGUCGGUGACUAAGCGAAAGCGAUAAGUUAUCCACCUGGGGAGUACGUUCGCAAGAAUGCAACUCAAAGGAAUUGACGGA